UGACAAGGCCCCAGGAAAUGCGAGGUGGGGAGUCGCUCAGGGCGGGGAGCAGAUGUCCACAUUCUGCUUUGUUAUUACUUCAGCUUAUUGGUCCAGGUUUUUUCUUUUAGACAGAAAAGAAUCCGCCCAUGUUUUCAUGUUGUUCUCAUUGAAAUACACCCACAGGCGUUGAAACGAACCCACUGGUGAAGUGCAAGGAGAGAGAGGGCAGCCCGUUUGUUUCUUCACUAAGGUUUGGGGCUGCAGCUUAUGGGCCGGAAUUCCCAGGGGCUCCAGCGCAGGAAGCUGAGGGCAGAAUGAGGGAGUCGGAGAAACUGGUGGUGAGCUUCUCCUUAGGAGGGAAGCCAGCGGCCAUGUGGUGAGGGUACUCAAGCGGCCUAUGGGGAACCCCACAUGGUGAAGACUGAGGCCUCCUGACAACAGCCACAUGAGGGAGCCAUCUUGGAAGCAGAUUAUGCAGCCCCAAUUGAGCCUUCAGAUGACUGCAGCCCUAGCCCACACCUUGGCUGAAACCUCAUGAGAGAUCUUAGGUCAGAACAACUGAGCCUAGCUACUCCCAGAUUCCUGACCCACAGAAUCUGUGAGAUAAUAGCGUGCGUGAUUUUAAGCUGCAUAAAUUUGAGCUAAUUUAUUAUGAAGUAAUAGAUAACCUUCUCCUUGUCCUUUAAGAUGUCAUUUGAAAGUUUCCAGGGCUAGGUGUGGUGGCUCAUGCCUGUAAUCACAGCACUGUGGGAGGCCGAGAACGGUGGAUCACUUGAGGCCAGGAGUUUGAGACUAGUCUGGCUAAUAUGGCAAAACCCUGUCUGUACCAAAAAAAAAAAGAAAAAGAAAAAAAAAUGUUUCAAGGACUUCACUGAUGUCUUUCCUUUAUUCCUGGCUUAUGAUGAUGUUGGAAGCUUGAAAAAGAAGAUGAGAAGAUGUGUGGUUUUGGAGUACGGCAGCAAUGCCGUGGGCAUACACACCAAGCAUUUUCUACUGGUUAUGUCAUGUAAGCAUCUCAACCACCCUGUGGGAAGGUAUUAAUAGUCCCAUUUUAUAGAUGAGAAC
rnacentral:lncRNA from 10 species